rnacentral:rRNA from 1 species
UACGUAGGGUGCAAGCGUUGUCCGGAAUUAUUGGGCGUAAAGAGCGCGCAGGCGGUCGUUCAAGUCGCGUGUGAAAGCCCCCGGCUCAACUGGGGAGGGUCACGCGAUACUGAUCGACUCGAAGGCAGGAGAGGGAAGUGGAAUUCCCGGUGUAGUGGUGAAAUGCGUAGAUAUCGGGAGGAACACCAGUGGCGAAGGCGACUUCCUGGCCUGUUCUUGACGCUGAGGCGCGAAAGCUAGGGGAGCAAGCGGG